GCAGUCUUUCUCGAUGACCUGGGAGUCGCCUCUUUUGGAUAUAAUCAUCGGGAAAGAUGGAUCCCUGCAUCCCAGUGGGAGGAAUGUCCAUGAGUACACAGGUGUCCACCUGAUGUGAGGACAUCAAGCCAGAGUAUUAUCUUACAAAGACAUCUGUGCAAGGAAUACUUAGCGAUUUAGCACUGCUCAACUCUGGCUUAAGGUGGUGCUGGGGAUUGCACCCGGAAUCUCUGCCCUUCAGGAAUGUAAGUCUUUUUGCAUGAUGA